CCUGUUGAAUUCGGCGCAUGUGACAAAUAACAUUUAAUUUAAUUCAAAAAACAAGAUUUAAUCCAAAAGUUUAAUCCAAAGGCCAAGGUUUAAUCCAAAGGUCAAGGUUUAAUCCAAAAGUUUAAUCCAAAGGUCAAGGUUUAAUCCAAAAGUUUAAUCCAAAGGUCAAGGUUUAAUCCAAAGGUCAAGGUUUAAUCCAAAGGUCAAGGUUUAAUCCAAAGGUCAAGGUUUAAUCCAAAGGUCAAGGUUUAAUCCAAAGGUCAAGGUUUAAUCCAAAGGUCAAGGUUUAAUCCAAAGGUCAAGGUUUAAUCCAAAGGUCAAGGUUUAAUCCAAAGGUCAAGGUUUAAUCCAAAGGUCAAGGUUUAAUCCAAAGGUCAAGGUUUAAUCCAAAGGUCAAGGUUUAAUCCAAAGGUCAAGGUUUAAUCCAAAGGUCAAGGUUUAAUCCAAAGGUCAAGGUUUAAUCCAAAGGUCAAGGUUUAAUCCAAAGGUCAAGGUUUAAUCCAAAGGUCAAGGUUUAAUCCAAAGGUCAAGGUUUAAUCCAAAGGUCGAGGUUUAAUCCAAAGGUCGAGGUUUAAUCCAAAGGUCAAGGUUUAAUCCAAAGGCCGAGGUUUAAUCCAAAGGUCGAGGUCUAUAUUUGGUCCAACCUGAUAGUUUUCCAGUCCUUUGAAUCAUUUAGCGUUCAUUUGAUCUCCGUGUCGUUCGGGGUUGGUUGUUUGUAAGUGGGGGAAGUGUCAUGCUGUUUGUGACUACUACCUAGGCAGCAUUAAUAAUUAAUGUCACGACUGAGGGAGCG